GCCAGGAAUGCCUCCUUUUCAUUAUACUGGAUUUUGAAUUACUUUUUGGUUGCUGUGAGUUUAGAAAAUGUUUACUAUUGAAGCAUUUGAGCUCUGACACUCAACUUAAUUUAAAAUUCCUCCUUGAGCCAGUAGUGACUCUUUCUUGUCUAAACCACAUAUACUUUACUUUGUCUCUUUUCAGAGAAAGUCCUGUCCUAGCCUGGGCUCAUGCACAGCCAACCACAGGAAGUCAGCUAACUUCUGAAGAUCCCUCUUCUCUCUGCUGCAUGAGAAGAUGAGGCCAACCCACACUGACUUGGGGUCCUGGGAUUGGCUACUGAAGAAAGGGGCUCCCAAGGAGUUUGAAAAGGCUAAGAGAAUCCAACAG
rnacentral:lncRNA from 1 species